rnacentral:rRNA from 1 species
GAUGAACGCUGGCGGCGUGCUUAACACAUGCAAGUCGAACGGAAAGGCCCUGCUUUUGUGGGGUGCUCGAGUGGCGAACGGGUGAGUAACACGUGAGUAACCUGCCCUUGUCUUUGGGAUAACAUCAGGAGACUGCGGCUCAUACCGGAUAGGAGCUCCUGCUGCGUGGUGGGGGUUGGAAAGUUUCGGCGGUUGGGGAUCGUCUGGCGGCUUAUGAGCUGGUUGGUGGGGUAGUGGCUUACCAAGGCUUUGACGGGUAGCCGGCCUGAGAGCGUGAACGGGCACAAUGGGCCUAAGGUAGGCACCAGACGGGAACGGGCCGCAACAGUGGAGAGUCUGACGCAGCAGGGCGGCGCCUGAGAUGGCGGUCCUGCGUGCGGAAUGAUGGGUUACGGGUUAUGAACAGAUUUGGACUGUGACAAGCAGUGCGUGACGGUAAUGGGUAAGGAAGCAACGGCUAACUACGUG